AGAGUUUGAUCAUGGCUCAGAUUGAACGCUGGCGGCAGGCUUAACACAUGCAAGUCGAGCGGUAGCACAGGGGAGCUUGCUCCCUGGGUGACGAGCGGCGGACGGGUGAGUAAUGUCUGGGAAACUGCCUGAUGGAGGGGGAUAACUACUGGAAACGGUAGCUAAUACCGCAUAACGUCGCAAGACCAAAGAGGGGGACCUUCGGGCCUCUUGCCAUCAGAUGUGCCCAGAUGGGAUUAGCUAGUAGGUGGGGUAAUGGCUCACCUAGGCGACGAUCCCUAGCUGGUCUGAGAGGAUGACCAGCCACACUGGAACUGAACACGGUCCAGACUCCUACGGGAGGCAGCAGUGGGGAAUAUUGCACAAUGGGCGCAAGCCUGAUGCAGCCAUGCCGCGUGUGUGAAGAAGGCCUUCGGGUUGUAAAGCACUUUCAGCGAGGAGGAAGGUGGUGAGCUUAAUACGCUCAUCAAUUGACGUUACUCGCAGAAGAAGCACCGGCUAACUCCGUGCCAGCAGCCGCGGUAAUACGGAGGGUGCAAGCGUUAAUCGGAAUUACUGGGCGUAAAGCGCACGCAGGCGGUUUGUUAAGUCAGAUGUGAAAUCCCCGGGCUCAACCUGGGAACUGCAUUUGAAACUGGCAAGCUAGAGUCUCGUAGAGGGGGGUAGAAUUCCAGGUGUAGCGGUGAAAUGCGUAGAGAUCUGGAGGAAUACCGGUGGCGAAGGCGGCCCCCUGGACGAAGACUGACGCUCAGGUGCGAAAGCGUGGGGAGCAAACAGGAUUAGAUACCCUGAUAGUCCACGCUGUAAACGAUGUCGAUUUGGAGGUUGUGCCCUUGAGGCGUGGCUUCCGGAGCUAACGCGUUAAAUCGACCGCCUGGGGAGUACGGCCGCAAGGUUAAAACUCAAAUGAAUUGACGGGGGCCCGCACAAGCGGUGGAGCAUGUGGUUUAAUUCGAUGCAACGCGAAGAACCUUACCUACUCUUGACAUCCAGAGAACUUUCCAGAGAUGGAUUGGUGCCUUCGGGAACUCUGAGACAGGUGCUGCAUGGCCGUCGUCAGCUCGUGUUGUGAAAUGUUGGGUUAAGUCCCGCAACGAGCGCAACCCUUAUCCUUUGUUGCCAGCGGUUCGGCCGGAACUCAAAGGAGACUGCCAGUGAUAAACUGGAGGAAGGUGGGGAUGACGUCAAGUCAUCAUGGCCCUUACGAGUAGGGCUACACACGUGCUACAAUGGCGUAUACAAAGAGAAGCGACCUCGCGAGAGCAAGCGGACCUCAUAAAGUAUGUCGUAGUCCGGAUUGGAGUCUGCAACUCGACUCCAUGAAGUCGGAAUCGCUAGUAAUCGUAGAUCAGAAUGCUACGGUGAAUACGUUCCCGGGCCUUGUACACACCGCCCGUCACACCAUGGGAGUGGGUUGCAAAAGAAGUAGGUAGCUUAACCUUCGGGAGGGCGCUUACCACUUUGUGAUUCAUGACUGGGGUGAAGUCGUAACAAGGUAACC
rnacentral:rRNA from 1 species